AGCUCCAAUAGCGUAUAUUAAAGUUGUUGCAGUUAAAAAGCUCGUAGUUGGAUUUCUGGCGGGGACCCAAGUACCCCUGCAGGGUGUGCUCGGGCCCGGCCAUCCUUCUGUCAACCCUCACGGUCGUUUACUCGUCCGAGUUGGUGAUCAGAUAAUUUACCUUGAGAAAAUUAGAGUGUUUCAGGCAGGCUUAGCCGGAAUACAUUAGCAUGGAAUAAUGGAAUAGGACUGAUGUCUCGUUGUUGGUUACGCGGACAACAGUAAUGAUUAAUAGGGACAGUUGGGGGCAUUAGUAUUUAUUAGCUAGAGGUGGAAUUCUCUAAUUUGAUAAAGACUAACUUAUGCGAAAGCAUUUGCCAAGGAUGUUUUCA
rnacentral:rRNA from 1 species